rnacentral:rRNA from 1 species
UGAGGUAACGGCCCACCAAGGCUACGAUGGGUAGUUGAUCUGAGAGGAUGGUCAGCCACACUGGGAGUGAGACACGGGCCCAGACUCUUACGGGAGGCAGCAGUUAAGAAUCUUGCACAAUGGGCGAAAGCGUGAUGCAGCGACGCCGCGUGAGCGAUGAAGGCCUUCGGGUUGUAAAGCUCUUUUCUGGGAGAAGAAACCGGUGCUUUGUCACCGACUGACUGUACCUCAGGAAUAAGCGUCGGCCAAUUACGGUGCCAGCAGCCGCGGUAAGACGUAAGAGGCAAGCGUUGUCCGGAAUCACUGGGCGUAAAGCGCGUGUAGGCGGCUUGGUAAGUCGGAUGUGAAAUCCUCGGGCUCAACCCGGGAACUGCGUCCGAAACUGCCUCGCUUGAGAGCAGAAGAGGAGAGUGGAAUUCCGGGUGUAGCGGUGAAAUGCGUAGAUAUCCGGAGGAACACCAGUGGUGAAGACGGCUCUCUGGUCUGUUUCUGACGCUGAGACGCGAAAGCGUGGGGAGCGAACGGGAUUAGAUACCCCGGUAGUCCACGCUUGUAAACGAUGGGUACUAGGUGUCGGGGGAUCGACCCCCUCGGUGCCGGAGCUAACGUGUUAAGUACCCCGCUGGGGAGUACGC